GAUACGAUGCUCAGCGCCCGACCUCCAACCCUUUGUUGUUAAAACUACCUUGUUGCUUUGGCGGGACCGCUCGGUCUCGAGCCGCUGGGGAUUCGUCCCAGGCGAGCGCCCGCCAGAGUUAAACCAAACUCUUGUUAUUUAACCGGUCGUCUGAGUUAAAAUUUUGAAUAAAUCAAAACUUUCAACAACGGAUCUCUUGGUUCUCGCAUCGAUGAAGAACGCAGCGAAAUGCGAUAAGUAAUGUGAAUUGCAGAAUUCAGUGAAUCAUCGAAUCUUUGAACGCACAUUGCGCCCCUUGGUAUUCCGAGGGGCAUGCCUGUUCGAGCGUCAUUACACCACUCAAGCUAUGCUUGGUAUUGGGCGUCGUCCUUAGUUGGGCGCGCCUUAAAGACCUCGGCGAGGCCACUCCGGCUUUAGGCGUAGUAGAAUUUAUUCGAACGUCUGUCAAAGGAGAGGAACUCUGCCGACUGAAACCUUUAUUUUUCUAGGUUGACCUCGGAUCAGGUAGGGAUACCCGCUGAACUUAAGCAUAUCAAUAAGCGGAGGAAGGAUCAUUAAAGAGUAAGGGUGCUCAGCGCCCGACCUCAACCUUUGUUGUUAAAACUACCUUGUUGCUUUGGCGGGACGCUGUCUAGCGCUGGGGAUUUCCGCGAGCGCCCGAAUUAACCAAGUUUUACGGGAUUAAAAUUUGAAUAAAUCAAACUUUCAACGGAUUUGGUUCUCAUCAAAAACACAAAUGCAUAUAAUGUGAAUUGCAGAAUUGUGAAUCAUAAUCUUGAACGAUUGGUGCUAUUCGGCAGCUUAGCUAUACACUCUUGUAUGGGGUUCUUAUGGCCUAAGCUCCAAGACUCGCUAGCGUGUAAGUUAUCUAGUCAGAAGGACUGACAACUUUUUCUGUGACGGAGGUAGGAACGCUGAACUUAGACUCAUAAAGAAGGAAAUUCAAAGGAGAGGAACUCUGCCGACUGAAACCUUUAUUUUCUAGGUGACCUCGAUCAGGUCGGUC
rnacentral:rRNA from 1 species